CACAGACACGGCCCCCAAAUCAGAGGUCUGGAGUUAGAUAUGUGCAUUGUAUUCUAUCAGCAGCUGAACCUUACUCUCCCCCAGUGUGUGUGUGUGUGUCAUGGAGGUAUGGGGUUCAACCAGUUCUGUUGAAAAUUUUCCAUUGGGAAAAUAGUGGGGUCAGGUUAAAGGUUGGCACUCUAUCCAGGGUGUCCCCUGCCUUGUGCCUCGAGUUCCCUGGGAUAGGCUCCAAGCUUCCUGCAACCCUGUGUAGGAUAAGGGGGAGAACACUAACUCCAGGAUCUCAGCCUGUCUGUGAUGAUUUAUGAUUGUACAGGG
ensembl:lncRNA